rnacentral:rRNA from 1 species
AUUGAACGCUGGCGGCAGGCCUAACACAUGCAAGUCGAGCGGUAACAGGAAUCAGCUUGCUGAUUCGCUGACGAGCGGCGGACGGGUGAGUAAUGUCUGGGAAACUGCCUGAUGGAGGGGGAUAACUACUGGAAACGGUAGCUAAUACCGCAUAACGUCUUCGGACCAAAGUGGGGGACCUUCGGGCCUCAUGCCAUCAGAUGUGCCCAGAUGGGAUUAGCUAGUAGGUGGGGUAACGGCUCACCUAGGCGACGAUCCCUAGCUGGUCUGAGAGGAUGACCAGCCACACUGGAACUGAGACACGGUCCAGACUCCUACGGGAGGCAGCAGUGGGGAAUAUUGCACAAUGGGCGCAAGCCUGAUGCAGCCAUGCCGCGUGUAUGAAGAAGGCCUUCGGGUUGUAAAGUACUUUCAGCGGGGAGGAAGGUGUUGUGGUUAAUAACCAGAGCAAUUGACGUUACCCGCAGAAGAAGCACCGGCUAACUCCGUGCCAGCCGCCGCCGUAACAC